rnacentral:rRNA from 1 species
AUGGGGUGCAGCAGGGGCGAAACCUCCGCAAUGCGGGCAACCGCGACGGGGGGACCCCCAGUGCCGUGGCAUAGCCACGGCUUUUCCGGAGUGUAAAAAGCUCCGGGAAUAAGGGCUGGGCAAGGCCGGUGGCAGCCGCCGCGGUAAUACCGGCGGCCCAAGUGGUGGCCGCUAUUAUUGGGCCUAAAGCGUCCGUAGCCGGGCCCGUAAGUCCCUGGCGAAAUCCCACGGCUCAACCGUGGGGCUUGCUGGGGAUACUGCGGGCCUUGGGACCGGGAGAGGCCGGGGGUACCCCUGGGGUAGGGGUGAAAUCCUAUAAUCCCAGGGGGACCGCCAGUGGCGAAGGCGCCCGGCUGGAACGGGUCCGACGGUGAGGGACGAAGGCCAGGGGAGCGAACCGGAUUAGAUACCCGGGUAGUCCUGGCUGUAAAGGAUGCGGGCUAGGUGUCGGGCGAGCUUCGAGCUCGCCCGGUGCCGGAGGGAAGCCGUUAAGCCCGCCGCCUGGGGAGUACGGCCGCAAGGCUGAAACUUAAAGGAAUUGGCGGGGGAGCAC